UACGUAGGGAGCAAGCGUUGUUCGGAUUUACUGGGCGUAAAGGGCGCGUAGGCGGCAAUUCAAGUCACUUGUGAAAUCUCUGAGCUUAACUCAGAACGGUCAAGUGAUACUGCUGUGCUAGAGUGCAGAAGGGGCAAUCGGAAUUCUUGGUGUAGCGGUGAAAUGCGUAGAUAUCAAGAGGAACACCUGAGGUGAAGACGGGUUGCUGGGCUGACACUGACGCUGAGGCGCGAAAGCCAGGGGAGCAAACGGG
rnacentral:rRNA from 1 species